rnacentral:rRNA from 1 species
AUUGAACGCUGGCGGCAUGCCUUACACAUGCAAGUCGAACGGCAGCACGGGUGCUUGCCCCUGGUGGCGAGUGGCGAACGGGUGAGUAAUACAUCGGAACAUGUCCUGUAGUGGGGGAUAGCCCGGCGAAAGCCGGAUUAAUACCGCAUACGAUCUACGGAUGAAAGCGGGGGACCUUCGGGCCUCGCGCUAUAGGGUUGGCCGAUGGCUGAUUAGCUAGUUGGUGGGGUAAAGGCCUACCAAGGCGACGAUCAGUAGCUGGUCUGAGAGGACGACCAGCCACACUGGGACUGAGGCACGGCCCAGACUCCUACGGGAGGCAGCAGUGGGGAAUUUUGGACAAUGGGCGAAAGCCUGAUCCAGCAAUGCCGCGUGUGUGAAGAAGGCCUUCGGGUUGUAAAGCACUUUUGUCCGGAAAGAAAUCCUUGGCCCUAAUACGGUCGGGGGAUGACGGUACCGGAAGAAUAAGCACCGGCUAACUACGUG